rnacentral:lncRNA from 1 species
UUCAAGUUAAUUUAAUUUUAAGCUUGCAUAUAAGAAAAGAUUGAAUAAUAAUAGUCUAAAAGUGAGAAUCACAAGCACAAGAAGUAGCUUUGGCACUACAAGCAUCUUCAGCAUCCAGGCCAAGCGAGUAUGUAUCCACUUCACACCAUCCUAAAAUAUCCUGCUGCCACACAAUAAGAACUAUAAGUAUCAUUAGACUAAGGUUCUCAUCAAAGAACAACAUUUUUCUCCAAGUUCAUCAAUAGACCCAUUCUGAAACAUAUAAUAUAAAAUAGUCAAAUUUCUACCUGAGGUCACAACUUACAAUAAUAUAAUAAGUGAUUGUGGAAUGAUGUACAUAUGUAAAGCUAAACAGAACAAAGUAACAGAGAAAAAAUAAGAUAAAUUGACUUCUACAAGUUGCCAGCUAGAAGUGCUUAAACUGUCUUAUUCAUGGAAGGCGGAACACAAAUGCUUAGUAGAAGGAUAACAGAUAAUCUAAGCAAGCGUCGUGAAUGAGAAGCAAGACAAGUGUCAGGAUUAGCCAAGUAUCUGUAGUACAAAGAGACAACUUUAUAACUGCUAAGAAACCGAUACCGUUAAGAAGAUUUCCCUUUUGACUUUUCAAUUUCCAUUAGAGCAGCUAUCGUGAUUUUGUGUUCCUGACAGAACUCUCGCAACUUCCUUUAUUCGCAAGUCGGGUUCAUCUCCACCUUUGAACAUAAACAGAUUAGGCAAACAAACAUUAACACACCAAAAUUUAU